GGUUUUAAGUAUAAAGUUGACCAUAGUGUCAUUUUUCCGCCAUUUUCCUUUCUCUGUGACUUUGUCUGCAGAGAGGCACAAGCCCGCAAUGACCCAGGCUUCAGGCUCUUAGCAUCUACUACAGACCACUUUAGAUCAGAUGCUACAGUGAGGAAGCCCUAUAAGGGUUUGGUCUCUGCUCACAAGACGGAAAUAUCACAGGAGAAAGCUGGCCAAGACAGUGUGAGAGAGCAAACCUGUGACGUGGAAAGGCAGUGUCCUAUUCAUAAAAGGCCACAUCCCCUCAAGCGCUGCAGAGGGUUUCGCAAUAAACCCAUUGAGGAGCGUAAGACCUUCCUCAAGGACAAUGGUAUCUGUUUUAGAUGCUGUUCUUCCACUAGUCACAUGGCCAAGAACUGUAACACAACAAUCAAGUGUACAGAAUGUGAAAGCAGGAAUCAUAUCUCUGCCCUUCAUCCAGGACCACCACUUGCAACUCUCUUUGGUCAUGGCGGGGAGGGCACAGAAGAGACAACUCAGCCUGCUAUAACAUCGACUUGUACCGAAGUAUGUGGAGAGGCUCAGAGGGGAAGAUCCUGUUCUAAGAUCUGCUUAGUAAAGGUUUUCCCGAAAGCGCAGCCAGAGCGAGUGACAAAGGCUUAUGUUGUGCUCGAUGAUCAGAGUAAUCGGUCACUUGCCAGGUCAGAGUUUUUUGAUGUUUAUGGCAUAGAGGGAUCAGAGUCUCCAUUCACACUUCGUACAUGUGCGGGAACGACAGAAAUGAUGGGUAGAAGAGCUACAGGCUUUGUAGUGGAGUCACUAGAUGGAGCCACAUCAGUCACGCUGCCGACAAUAAUUGAAUGUAAUAACAUUCCGAGUAACAGAGCUGAGAUACCUACCCCUGAGGUGGCAGCAGAACAUGCUCAUCUAAGGCCAAUAGCCCAUCUCAUCCCACCACUCGAUCACAAAGCUGAGAUCCUCCUCUUACUUGGACGUGACCUACUUAGUGUCCACAAAGCGAGACAGCAUAGAAACGGUCCUCACAAUGCCCCAUAUGCACAGAAACUGGACCUGGGAUGGGUCAUCAUCGGUGAUGUCUGUUUAGGUGAUGCUCACAAGCCUGCAACUGUGGAUGCCUAUCACACUAAUGUGCUUGAGAACAAUCGCCCAUCCUAUUUCAGACCAUGUCCAAAUAUGGUUCAUAUCAAAGAGAAUUAUGGGUCCAAGUCUGAGCGUAAAGCCUUCCCUACCACUGAAACACCUAGAGUUAAGGCAUGCACUCUUGGAAGCACUAUCUUUGAUACGUCUGAGGACGAUAACAAAAUCGGCCUUUCUAUUGAAGACAAAC
rnacentral:lncRNA from 1 species